UACGAACUGCGCAAACGUUAUUCGGAAUCACUGGGCUUAAAGGGUGCGUAGGCGGGUUAGUAGGUCAGAUGUGAAAGCCCACGGCUCAACCGUGGAAUUGCGUUUGAAACCACUAGUCUUGAGGAAGUCAGAGGAGAGCGGAACUGAUGGUGGAGCGGUGAAAUGUGUUGAUAUCAUCAGGAACACCGGUGGCGAAAGCGGCUCUCUGGGACUUUUCUGACGCUGAGGCACGAAAGCUAGGGGAGCGAACGGG
rnacentral:rRNA from 1 species